GCACAAGCGGUGGAGCAUGUGUUUAAUUCGAAGCAACGCGCAGAACCUUACCACGCCCUUGACAUCCCGGUCGCGGAUCGCAGAGAUGCUUUCCUUCAGUUCGGCUCGGACCGGUGACAGGUGCUGCAUGGCUGUCGUCAGCUCGUGUCGUGAGAUGUUGGGUUAAGUCCCGCAACGAGCGCCAACCCCCGCCUUCAGUUGCCAACGGUUCGGCCGUGCACUCUGGAGGAACUGCCUGUGACAAGCAGGAGGAAGGUGGGGAUGACGUCAAGUCCUCAUGGCCCUUAUGGGCUGGGCUACACACGUGCUACAAUGGCGGUGACAGAGGGAUGCAAUACCGCGAGGUGGAGCAAAUCCCUAAAAGCCGUCUCAGUUCGGAUUGUUCUCUGCAACUCGAGAGCAUGAAGUUGGAAUCGCUAGUAAUCGCAGAUCAGCUCGCUGCGGUGAAUACGUUCCCGGGCCUU
rnacentral:rRNA from 1 species